rnacentral:rRNA from 1 species
AUUGAACGCUGGCGGCAUGCCUUACACAUGCAAGUCGAACGGUAACGCGGGGCAACCUGGCGACGAGUGGCGAACGGGUGAGUAAUGCAUCGGAACGUGCCCGGUAGUGGGGGAUAACUGCUCGAAAGAGCAGCUAAUACCGCAUACGACCUGAGGGUGAAAGGGGGGGAUCGCAAGACCUCUCGCUAUCGGAGCGGCCGAUGUCGGAUUAGCUAGUUGGUGGGGUAAAGGCCCACCAAGGCAACGAUCCGUAGCUGGUCUGAGAGGACGACCAGCCACACUGGGACUGAGACACGGCCCAGACUCCUACGGGAGGCAGCAGUGGGGAAUUUUGGACAAUGGACGCAAGUCUGAUCCAGCCAUGCCGCGUGCGGGAAGAAGGCCUUCGGGUUGUAAACCGCUUUUGUCAGGGAAGAAAUCUUCUGGACUAAUACUCUGGGAGGAUGACGGUACCUGAAGAAUAAGCACCGGCUAACUACGUGCCAGCAGCCGCAGUAACAC